AAGAACUUCUAUGUGAGUGACCCUUUUCCAUUGGUAAAAAGGGAACUCGAAUAAGAAGCCUGACUCUGAGGUGCCUGACGCAUUUCCAACCCGCGAACAUUAGACGCCGCAGCCGGUUGGGUAGCUGCGCGUGUCGGCCAUGAGGUAGGGCAGUGGCAGUAGACCGUUUCUCGCUAAAAAGUGGCGUUUGCCGGAUCGUUUAGCCAGCCCUACCGUGGCGCGACACCCGACCGAGGAUGAAGGGGUCAGAAAUGGCCCCGCCGUCCCUUCUUAUUCUGUAUAACAACAUUAAAGAGCGGGCCGGCGGACAGGCGAGUUGCUGCGCUAUACUGCUCUAGUCCUCGAACUGGGUAGUGCGUGGUAGCCGUUGGUGGUCCGCGUCGGUUAAACCGCAAUGGGAAAUAAUUAAUUAAGGCUUGUGGCGAGUAGGUCGGUCACCCACCCGACCCGUCUUGAAACACGGACCAAGGAGUCUAACAUGUGCGCAAGUCAUGGGGUCUUGCUUAGGCCCAGAGGCGUAAUGAAAGUGAGACUUAGCUUUUCUUCUUAGAGGAAUUUUUUAUAAGUUGGGAUUUCCCGAGGAGAUUGGAAGCCCGGGAAAGCACCAACGACCCGCCCUAGUAACUUGAUUCAAUUAUAAAGUGUGGACGGCGUUAGAGCGCACACGUUGGGACCCGAAAGAUGGUGAACUAUGCCUGGGCAGGACGAAGCCAGAGGAAACUCUGGUGGAGGUCCGCAGCG
rnacentral:rRNA from 1 species